CCGACCAACGAUUGUCCUGGAGAUCGUGGGGUUCCGACCACGGUGGUUUGUUUACGCUAUGUCCUUAUGUGUACGCCGAGCCGCCGUAGAAAAGACUCGUCCCGGCUGCUCGCACCGUCACCGUGUGCAGGUUUUCCGCGCCAGUCGGCCUUCUUGUUCUGUAUAAUCAACGUCCCCACUUCACGUUUAUGGUUUACGCUUCAAAGAACUGCUGUUGCUGCACGGAGAACUUCGUCUCGCAGUAUCACCAUGCCUGCCUUUUGCUCUGCGUACGGCUCUUCGAACACCGGCGGCCGAGACGAUAUUCUUGGACAGCCGCUCUCUGGAGAUGGAACCAUCGGCCAAACGCCAGGACCAAGUGAUUGUCGCAAAACAGAUCCUAAUGCUGUCGCAGCAGAUCAAGUAUAUGAUGCAGCAUGGGGCCUCACUCUUGAGUUGGGAAAAGCCGUAGAAACAUCACCAGAGCUAGCAUGUGAACCGGGUCACGUCACAGAUAAAUCCGUUCAAGUGCGACUACUAACCCACCAUGAAGCAUCACAAGCAAAUGAAAAGAAAAUUCUGUCAUCAAGUGCUACACAAACAGAGCCUCAAGCUGUUUCUUCAGGUUCCUUGUUUGUUGAGUCACUGGAGCAGUCUUCCUCACUGGCGUCUGUACAAGGUCAAAGGCAUUCCUGCCAACAGGGCAACUGUGUGACCCUGAAGAAGUCAACUAUGAACAGUGACCUUCGGAAACGUAUGGACAAGGCCACCUUACAGUGCCACUUGUGCCCAGCUACAUUCGUUCACAAUUCUAAGCUCUUGGCACAUGUGCACACCCACACAGGAGAGCAUUCCUUUUCAUGUGUCCAUUGCAAUGCAUCCUUUUCGCGGAAAGACUCUCUCAAUGACCACAUGCGCACUCACACAGGAGAGCGUCCAUUUUCCUGUGUCCACUGCAAUGCAUCCUUUACGCGGAAAGACUCCCUCAAUGGCCACAUGCGCACUCACACAGGAGAGCGUCCCUUUUCUUGUGUCCUCUGCAAUGCAUCCUUUAAACGGAAAGACAAACUCAAUGAGCACAUGCGCACUCACACAGGAGAGCGUCCCUUUUCAUGUGUCCACUGCAAUGCAUCCUUUUCACGAAAAGACACCCUCAAUGACCACAUGCGCAUUCACACAGGAGAGCGUCCCUUCUCCUGUAUCCACUGUGAUGCAUCCUUUGUGAGGAAAUUCAGCCUUGUGAGACAUAUCCGUAUUCACACAGAACAGCUCCCUUUUCCUGUGUCCACUGCAAUGAAUCGUUAGUGAUGGAACGCUACCUCGUUCAACACAUGAGUACUCACACAGCAGAGUGUCCCUCUCAGGUGUUCACUGCGGUGCAUCCUUGUCGCGAAGAAAUAGCCUUAAUUGUCAUGCACAUCCGUACUCACACCGGACAGCGUCCCUACUCCUGUGUCCACUGCAAUGCAUUUUUUUCACGAAAAUACAACUUCACGGACCACAUGUCCCGUGAUCAUAGAAAGGCGAAGCCAUAAACGAGUUUGAGGCCUAAAGGCUUCCCUUAAAGAAGGGGCGGUCUAGCAGGGACGGCGGAGUUUGUUGAUUAAGGGAGACAGUGAACUUGGUUUAAGGUGAGGAAAGACACUUGGUUUGGCAACUCACUAGCGAGAAUGGGACGUAGGCAUGGUAGGGAAGAGAAGUAGAAGAGAGUGGGAAGCAGAGGCCAGCUUUUCGUAGGUUUUGGUUUUAUUGCCAGUGCAGCUGGGCACCCACUAGUUUUCCUAAUGGGCAGAGAAGGUACCCCAGCCUGGCGUUCAGUGUUGUGAGUAUUCAUUUCUCGUGAAUGUGGCUUCUUCUUUCCUUAACUUCUUUCACUUUCGUUUCUCCUUUCGCCAACGACGUUGAGCCAUGCUCCUUUAUGGCUUGCAGAAGUACACGUUUUAUUCUAAAUCACUGCUACUUGAGUAUUGACACUAAUGAGCUCCAGGACGGCUUAACUCUCCUUCAGAAGAAACUAGUGAGUGUCCACAGGCACUGGGAAUCAUACCUUGCGCCUCGCACUUUGGAAGCAGACCCUCUGAACACUUCAUCAUAUCUGGAUUAUUAGAAGUGAAUGCAAUGGAGGAAGGUGCGCAGGCAAAAUAUUAAAAAAAAAGGCCUUUUUUUUUUUGCACUUUGUGAAGUGUCCCCUGUGCGUAUAUUUUUAGAUCUCCAGUGUUCAGAUAUAAAGUAAAUGUAAAAAGAAAAUAGCUCAUGCUCAGGAUAGGAAAUAAAAAAGCUUACAGACUACACCACUUUACACCCUUAAAGGGGAACUCCGGGGAUUUUGGAUAUUCAUCGAUUUCAAUUAAACUUUCAACAUAAUCUGACGGAGGAGAGAUGAUGGUUUAAUGGAUAUUUACAACAGUGAAGUGGCAGCCAAACAAGAUGGCUGAGAAACCCCACGCGCAAGCACUUCUCGCUCACUCGUCGUCUUCAUCUUCGGAGAGCACCGCGCUAGCUCAUGUCCAUGACGCACAGUGACAAUAUGUUCUCUUCAGUAUCCUGAUAUGUGCCAAAUUAUACAACCGUAAGUCACUUGGUUUUUUUAGAAAACAAAAUUUAAAAUUGUUAGCCAAUUCCGGAAUCACGCCUGUUAACGCGGGUCACCCUUUGUAUGUGACGUAAUUAACGUGCCCACUCUUUUCCGACCCCGUAUCGCCCAGCAGAUGGUCGCAGCGCGCGCUUUCUUCUACGAGGUGGCGACGACGCGAGCAAAGUUUGGCUUUGUUAGCUGCAUAGUGUCGUAGUCGUCAUUGACAUCGGGUCUUACAGUAAGCACGCACAAUAUUGAGCAACGAGGAGAUCGAUGCGGGGCAUGUGAGCUACUUCAUGCGCCGGCGGGUAGAAAUCAAAAGGCGAUGCUUCCGCGCGUCGUCACUGGUAAGUUGAGACAGGCUGGCGCAGCUUGAUUUCGCGUCGGAUAACAUCGCCAGCUUGCUUUUUGCGUGAUAGAAGAAGCGCGUGUGCUAUGUCACGGCCGGUCUGGAGGCGCUCGCUCGCCAGGAAGCGAGCGCGCGCCUCCAGACCGGCCGUGGCUAUGUUUACACCCUGGCCAGCCGUGGUAGCGUGUAGCGUAUUUCGUGAUGUCAUCGCAUACCCAGCACGGAGCAGCUCAGCUCCGUUUCGGUAUCGUCUCAUCGUUUAUUGCUUUUUUAAAAUUACUGACUAGUCUCUCAGCGAAAUGAACCACCCUAGCUGUUACAGGACUGUUAAUACUGUUUGAAAAUGGCAUUAUCUCAGUAUGGUCGAAAAUGCACCGGAGUUCCCCUUUAAGGAUGUCUUAUCGCGUCUAUCACUAACGCCCUUACACUCUACACUCUAGAAUAAAGGCGCUUUCACGAAUCGAAACACCAGUAUCAAACACUUGCAAUUGUCUAAACAUCCUUAUCACUGCAAAGCAAAAGAAUAAUUCAAGGCUACCACUUUGAGAACAUUCUCUUACACAGGCAACGUAGGAUAUAAAAUUGCACAGACGCAUACGGACAUACACACCAACAUAGCAAGGUAAAGAGCAACAUAGAGAGAUUGUGCUACACAGCCAUGUACCGAUCAGCCAUAAAGAGAGCGAUAAAGGAAGCCUACGUUAUGAUUCAUUGUUCUUUAACAGCAAAAAGUUAAUUUAUGUUGAGUCAUCAGGUUCAGUUAUACAAUCAGGCUGACAGUGAAGCAGCUGUACCACAAUAAAAGUGCUGCUUGGGAAUUGCAGAAGCAUUACAAAUAAGGUUGACGACCUUGCUCACCUUAUGAACAUGACUCUGUUGUACUUGAACCCGAGUUGUGGUUGAACAGCAAAAAUAGUGACAGCGAAAUCUGUCCCUUAAAUUGUACGGCUUAUUGGAGAGAUCAGGAUAGGCACGGCGCAGGUGUUUUCACAUUAGUGAAAGAGAAAUUUAUGCUAAAAUGUUACAAAUUCACACGGAAACAAACGAAUCUCGUUCAAGUUGUGUUUCCAAAAUAGACUGCGUUAUUUUUUGUUUCUUUUUAUAGGCCACCAGGUAGCAAAGUUAGAGUAAUGAACAACUUGAAUGAGGAAAUUGAUGCAGUAAAUGAUGAUCACGUAAUACUUGGAGGUGAUUUUAACCUGCCUGAAGUCUGAAAUCCAUUGGGCUCAAGAACAUACUAAUUCUCUCGUUAAUAGUUGUUCGCGGAAGGAAUUGCUCAAGAUGUGUUGCUGUUUCUCGCUCAUCAAGUUGUGCAACCUACAAGAGGGAAUAAUGUGCUUAUUUAUUGCUUGGUGAUUUGCCUCUUGAGGACCAGCACACGCAUACAAGUGAUCAUAGCACUGUGCUUUGCGAGCUCAACUUGGAUCAUGUUAGAGUUACAGAUAGCAGAGCAAGGUAAGUACAUAGUUGUAACCACGCAAAUAUUGUUUUACAAUAACAGAAGCACUUGACCGUUAUUAUGAUAUUUUUGAGGCACUGUCACAUACGUUUGAUGUAGAAGAUAUGAGGGUGAGGUUUAAAACUAAACUGUUCAAAUUACGGAAGCAACAUGUGCUUUCACGGCUGAUCACAGUCCGAUGGAGCAUAAUAAUAUUUAGGUCUCAAAACCACGAUUUGAUUACGAGGGACACUGAAGUGGCGGGCUCUGGACAUUUCAACCAGCUGGUGUUCUUUAACAUGCACCUAAAUAUUAGUUCACGGGCCUCUACCAUUAUACCCCCCAACGAAAGGCGGCCGCCGAGGCCGAGAUUCUAUCCCUCGACCACCGGGGCGGCAGUCGAGCACCAUAUUCAUUAGACCACCACGGCGGGUAGCCCGACGCAGCCGAUGUAAGCCUUGGUUUACAAAAGACGCGCAAAGAUUAAUUCGUGGGAAACGGAAUGCAUACAAUGAAGUAAAAAAAAAAGAUGUGAGGGUGAGGCAAAAGCAAAAUUGCAAGUACUUGCGGCUAAAAUCAGUGAUGCCACAUGAAAGGCUAAAGGUGUUUACAUUGAAACCCCAAAUUUAGAAUAAAAGAUUGGCCAGAAAAAUUGUGGCAAAGCUUAAAAAAAAUAGAAAAGAUGAUCUAGCAAUGUUGAACAUUGAAGAAAACUGCAUGUUUUUUAACUGAAUUGAAUUGAAUUGUGUUUAUUCACAACAAGGUUGCGAGGAUGACCAGGCAAAAAAGCUGCAUUGAGCAGCUUGAGGGGAACCUGGCCACGUCGGAAGGCCAAGCGCUUUAUCUUGUUUUUAGAGCGCAGCUCCUAGGCGCCCGUUCCUGCGUUGAGCGGUGUCGCCGUUGUCUUCGCCAGUCAAGUGGCGUAACCGAUAGACAUGAAAAAAUAAAAUCAGAAAAAAAUACUUGGGAUAAAAUGGGAUUUGAAGCCGGGCCCUAUUCAUGGCAGUCGAGUAUUCUACCACAGAGCCAGGCUGGUGCUUAAAACUCGUUUGCAAAAAGACCCUAUAUAGGCGUCAUGUCGGGCAAGGAAUCGCAUUAACCUACGUAAUAUAGUGUGGCAGAAAAGUAAAGUAACAACCAGUCAUCGCAAAAUGCUAACUGCGGAACAAGUGUGUGGUUUAAUGCUUCCCAUCCACUGCAAAGUGCUCAGCCAUAAUUCUUCAUUGUCUUCAGCCACAUGCCGCAUCAACAAAGUGCACGUAACACCUUACAGAUGUGUAGCGGGUACAUCGCUGAUCCGCAGAAAGAAGAAUAAUGGCGUAGUGGAUGCUGUUCUACUUCACAAAAAUUAUUAUUCAUGGCGUAGUCGAUAGCUUGCGGAAAGCCAAAACUUCAAACACAGUGGCCUUGCCCCAACACGAAGCUGCACUCAGAAUUCGCAUUAGGCAGUGUCGUAAUCGUCGGUGAAUUUUUUUACAUGAGUAUUUUAUACUCAUGCACAAACGCUAGCGAAUAUUCGUAAAAAACUUUGUUACUAAGCAAAAGGUUGUGUUUAGUCUGCAUUGAAGGAAAGCCUUUUUUUUUAAAGGUUACUCUACAAAAGCUAGUGGCCCAAAUGAAAUACCGCAUGCCUUCUUGUCAUCAUGUGCGCACUCAGUUGUAAAAUAUUUUUGUCUUUUUUGCUAAAUCAUUAGAGAAGGGUCGUCUACCUCUCGAUUGUAAAAAGGCAAAUAUUGUACAUUCACAAAUCUGUGCCGCAAAGCUUGGUUUUAAACUAUCGUCCUGUUUCAUUAAGUAGUACGAAACGCAAAGUGCUAGCACAUGUUUUUUGCUAGCAUAUUUAAAAAUAUUAAUGAGAACUAUCUGCUAAACAGCUGCCAGCAUGUCUUCCGCUUCCAAUCUUGUGUCGUGCAACUUACUGAAUAGACUCGUUACCUGGGAAGUGCAUUGGACAAAGACAGUACAAUAUAUUUCAUAAUUUCAAGAAAGCCCUUCAUGUGAUGCACAUUGAUUUAUUAAUUGAAAACUUUUCAUGGUAUGGUAUUGACAGUACUGUAACUUAUUGGAUACAGAAUCUUGAGUUUAGGCGCCUGGGGGUUGUCAUUAAUGGAGAUAAAGCGGGUGAGGCUGACGUAACGUCAGGAGUACCGCAAGGGUCAAUACUUGGCCUAUUCCUGUUUUUGAUCUAUGGGAGUAAGUUUUAGUAUUUUUUUGCUCAUGUUCACAGAUAAAUGUGCAUAGUACAGUAUAGAGUUUUUAAUGACCCAAAUGAUUGUACAACUUUGCAGUGUGACAUACUGGUUUACACAGUGGUGUCCAACAUGGCACAUAACCUUAAUGUAAAAAAAACAGUGCAUAUGUUUUUCUAGAAGAAAGGUGACACAGUUUCAGUCUAAUUAUUGCAUUAAUUGAAUGCAACUAUUGACUGGGUCAGAGUUUAUUUGGAGGUGCAGUUCAGCACUGAUUUAUCAUCGACAGGACACGUUGGUCACGUUUCUGCCAAAGUAUCCCGCGUCCUAGGUUAUAUGAAAAGGAAUGCUAAGCAAUUUCCAAACAAGGCAAUGGCUCUAAACUAUCUUUCCAGUAUUCGAUACUACUUGAAUACACUAGCGCGGAUUGGGAUCCCUGGACCCAAAUAAACUUAGGUGAGCUGGAAAGAAUUCUGAGUAGUGCUGUGGAGUUUGUAUUUGGAAAUUAUUCAAGAAAGUUCGGUGUAACUAGCAAAAAAAUAUAGGUGUGACACGCUGCCGAAAUGCUUAUUUCAUGAAUUGAAUUAUUUCCAUGAUAUCUACCUUUCAUGAAGAGGCAUUGAUUGCACAGAGUAUUUGCAUGAGCCUGACUAUAUGUCUACGAGGGAGUAUCACAAACUAAAAGUGAGGGAAACAUUUUGUAAAACUAACACGUUUAGGAAGUCAUUUUCCCCAAUACAAUUAGUUAGAAAUUGGUUACCAAGUGAUAUCGUGAAUAUAACUUCAAAGGAUUUGUUUGUCAGUCUGUCCAUGAUGUACUAGUAUAGGCAUGAACAUAUUGUGCUAUUUCAUUCUGUAUAACCUGUAUAUGUUUUUUUUUCUUUAUGUAAUUCCUCCCCAUUGUAAUACCAAUGAAUGCGCCGUGGUUGCUUUUGUAAGUAAAUAAUCUGGUAUAUAUAACCCUGAUAUUUUAACCUGGCGUUCAGUGCCGGUGAGGAUAUCAUGCACUGUUAUGCUUAAGUAAACAAUAAACAUUCACAGAAAACGUGGAAACUCGUCGUGCGACGUGCGCUUUCAGGUAGCUUUAAAACGGACAGACAUGUUAGUAUAAACUUUCCUAAUCAUCCUAUUAAGGCCACAGGUGUUUUUGCAACUCGUAACACCUCUUGCUCCUUAAGGGUGCUUUAAGUAAAACCUUAAUGCUUACGCAAACCAGAAGGCUAUUCGGGGAAGGAAAAGCACAUUAGACCCUAAUGUUUCAAAAUUGUACAGCAAAAAAGUGUUGUGUGUGCUUAAACCUCCUUUAAAGGUGCAACCUUAAUGAAAACCAGGAGAUAAUGAAGCCAAGGAAGUAUGGGGGACAUAGAAUCUGUGAAGAAAAUUUCUUCGCAUCUGUGUCACAUCCUUCAGCCUUGUGGUGCACAUGUGAGCGCCCCGUUACAAAGGGGACGCUCAUAGCAUCCAUCCAUCAAACCAUCGCAGGAUAACCACCAUGAAACGGGCAUGCACCACUAGAUGCAUGCAUAGCUACAUUGGGGGGUGGGGGUGAUGUUUAGGCGACUUUUUUUUGUCUUGUGAGGCACUGGCUGGACACAGUGCCAAUGCUA